rnacentral:rRNA from 1 species
CAGUCGCCACGGGAAUACGAAGGGUGCAAGCGUUACUCGGAAUUACUGGGCGUAAAGCGUGCGUAGGUGGUGGUUUAAGUCCGUUGUGAAAGCCCUGGGCUCAACCUGGGAAUUGCAGUGGAUACUGGGUCACUAGAGUGUGGUAGAGGAUAGUGGAAUUUCCGGUGUAGCAGUGAAAUGCGUAGAGAUCGGAAGGAACAUCUGUGGCGAAGGCGACUAUCUGGGCCAACACUGACACUGAGGCACGAAAGCGUGGGGAGCAAACAGGAUUAGAUACCCCGGUAGUCCCUGUCUCUUAUAU